rnacentral:piRNA from 1 species
UAACAGUCUGGUAGCCACUGUAGAAACAC